CGUGCACGUAGCGUGCUCCGGUCGCGCUGUGAUUUGACUAUAUAAUUAGUGACGUAUCCUACAUAACAUAGUAGGAUACGUCACUAAUUAUAUAGUCAAAUCACAGCGCGACCGGAGCACGCUACGUGCACG